CUGAAUUCAGAGCCAGACUGUGUGAAUUUUCAGAGAUUAGCAGCACUGUGAACACAAUGGUCUGUAGUUCUUCCAUAUGACACAGAAACAGAUCUCCAGCCUUUCUUUGGGGGAGUUGCAUAACCUCUCUCUGCCUUGAUUUCCCCAUCUGUCUGAUGAUCUCAGCAUCAUUGUAUCUGGCUUUGGUGUGCAUGUAGCUCAUCAGUGUUUCAUGUUCUGUCUGUGUCUGCUAGCUGCCUUCAAGGACACCACAUGGAAGGGGAGGAAGCAUCUUGGUAAGGAAGACAACGAGAUCUCAGAAAGAAAAAGCAAAACAAAGUGUGUAAAUAAAUUAAAUAACCUAGAAUGGUACUUAGGAUUCAUAGGAAAGAUAGUGGCAAAAAGAAGACUAAUGACAGCUGGUAUAUUUAAGAAGACAUACAUGUACAAAGUAUAAAAUUCAUGACGUGGCUUUGGAAGUCCUCUUGGCUGGAAGAGAGCUGGACAGACUAUAUGCAGAGACCCAUCGCAGGCUGGCUCAGUUUCAGGGGUUUCAUCAGUUCAGCUGGCAGAGUGUGUGGUGAAGAGUCGCUCAGGUGAUGGCGACAUUCAUCCAGCAUGGCAGAGCAUGUGAAGACCAGCAGCUCAGGUGAUGGAGACAAAAGCAGUGCUAAGGGGAGGAAGAGGAGAUACUGCCCCUUCUUCUAUCCGUGAGGCUCCAGAAACACAUAGGCCUUUUCCUGCCGUCUAUACCACUGGGAAAGAAACUUGCAAGAAACAAUUUAAAAGGAAGGCAGUUCUCGGCUAACAGUUUCAGAGACAACUGUCCAUGGUCAGCUGCCUCUGUGGCAGAUAUAGUGGCGGUGACGUUCACCACAAGGUAUCCAUGAAGCAGAGUAAACAAACAGAAUAACAGGCUGGGGACAAGACCUACCUUGCAGAGGCGUGCCUAAAGUGACUUGAUUCCUCUAGUUGUCCCCAGUCUUAACAGCCCGUUCAGCCAUGUAUUCAUUAGAAGUUUAGUGUGUCAGGGAAGUUGGUGCCCACGAGAGCCAACUGUCUCUCCGUAGCACUAACCACUGGGGAACGAGCCUUCAAUAUUGGAACAUUUGGAGACAUAUCAUAUUCAAAUCACAGGAGGAGGCUCCUCUCCAUGCGCUCUGCAUGAGGCUGGCUUCACAGACACCUGCGCUUUCUUUUGCUGCCUUGACUGUUUUCCAGGUGCCAGUCUGGUUUUUUAUUUUUCUAUCUGUCUAAAAAAGGCAGCUGCCUAACCUCCCACGGUGUGCAUUGUUUGUCUGCCUGUAGUUCUCUUGUAUACAAUAUCGCUUACAUUCUGAAGCAUGUCCCACAAAGGUUCUCCUCAGUGAGUCCUGUGGAGCAUAGAGAUGCAGCUUCAGGUAGAUUAAAGAUUUGCUUCCUUCAACAGACAUUGAACAAGGGGGGGGGGGGAGUGGCUAGUCUGCUUGACCUUGAGAAUCGGAAAACCAGAAUUGGAAGUGAGUUACAACUCUGUCUCUGCAUCUGAAUUGAACUAGACUUGUAUGAAUUGGAUUGAAAGAGAUGAGCAGAGUACUUGAAGAGUUUGGAAGAGACACUAACCAUCCUGCCCAGAAGUAAAGGCCUCACUGCACAGGCCAGAGGUUCAGAUAAGCAGUGCCAGCAAGCAGAACACGAAGGAGUGACAGACAGACCUCCCAAGGCAAAUUCCAGAAGAUGUCACCCCUAAUUCUCCCAUUGUGUCACUGCAGGCUGUCCUGUAUGCCACAUGUAUUCUCUACUUUAAAGGAUUUGAAGAUGGGAUAUAUGCUAGUCUAUAUUAAGAAACACAGUAAUCAUAAAUUAUUUGAGGUCUAAGGAAGAACAUUAAAAGGUACACUUAGGUUCAUGGUACAUUAAAGCUUUUCUUUCAAAUUUACAGAGCAAUUGAUAAGUUGAGGGACACUGGAUCAUUAGAGGUUCAGGGCCCUACUGAGGGGAUGCGAGGGCCAAUUAUGCAACAUGCAAUGAGAAUCGGGAUGAAGAAAAUGGGGCAUCCUGGUCAAAGCUUAGCUGUUAGUUUCUGGUUGGCUAACUUUAAUUCCAUUAGUUAGCUUCCAGUUUCUGAUUGGCCAGCUUUAAUUCCAUUGGUUAGCUGCCAGUUCCUGAUUGGCCAGCUUUAAUUUCAUUCUCCUGUGUCCACUUAUUUGAACUUGUCUGCUUAUAAAAACCCCAAGUGUAAACAUUUCAAACCCUCACUUUCCAGAUUUAGAUUUUAAUAGCAGUAAUCACAGCUACGAGCUACUGAGAAUGUCUAUGUGCUAAAUGCCAUUUCAAGCACUUCUAGGCAUUACCUUUUUUGACUGUCACAAGGACACAGCCCUAUAGGAACUAAUAGGGCUCAGACAGGAAGCAGGGACAUAGGAAAGAACUAGAUGGCAACAAGAUCUAUGCUUAACUCACUAAUGCCAGCUUCAUGGGUUGUCUUGUGACCCUUCAUGCCCAAGCCUUGGUAUGGAACUUCAUUUGGGGAUAGGUAGCUCCCAAAAGUGAUCCCAUUAAAAUAAAGUUGCUAAGAUCAGACACCCAA